rnacentral:rRNA from 1 species
UACGUAGGCAGCGAGCGUUGUUCGGAAUUAUUGGGCGUAAAGGGUGCGUAGGCGGUCGGGUAAGUCUGAUGUGAAAUCUCACAGCUUAACUGUGAAACUGCAUUGGAUACUAUUCGGCUUGAGAGUUGGAGGGGGGACUGGAAUUCUUGGUGUAGCAGUGAAAUGCGUAGAUAUCAAGAGGAACACCAGUGGCGAAGGCGAGUCCCUGGACAACUUCUGACGCUGAGGCACGAAAGCUAGGGGAGCAAACAGG